rnacentral:rRNA from 1 species
CGGAUUGGAGUCUGCAACUCGACUCCAUGAAGCUGGAUUCGCUAGUAAUCGCGCAUCAGCCAUGGCGCGGUGAAUACGUUCCCGGGCCUUGUGCACACCGCCCGUCAAGCCAUGGAAGCCGGGGGGUGCCUGAAGUGCGUGACCGCAAGGAGCGCCCUAAGGUAAAACCGGUGACUGGGGCUAAGUCGUAACAAGGUAAC